GAUGAACGCUGGCGGCGUGCCUAAUACAUGCAAGUCGAGCGAACGGACGAGAAGCUUGCUUCUCUGAUGUUAGCGGCGGACGGGUGAGUAACACGUGGAUAACCAACCUAUAAGACUGGGAUAACUUCGGGAAACCGGAGCUAAUACCGGAUAAUAUUUUGAACCGCAUGGUUCAAAAGUGAAAGACGGUCUUGCUGUCACUUAUAGAUGGAUCCGCGCUGCAUUAGCUAGUUGGUAGGGUAACGGCUUACCAAGGCAACGAUGCAUAGCCGACCUGAGAGGGUGAUCGGCCACACUGGAACUGAGACACGGUCCAGACUCCUACGGGAGGCAGCAGUAGGGAAUCUUCCGCAAUGGGCGAAAGCCUGACGGAGCAACGCCGCGUGAGUGAUGAAGGUCUUCGGAUCGUAAAACUCUGUUAUUAGGGAAGAACAUAUGUGUAAGUAACUGUGCACAUCUUGACGGUACCUAAUCAGAAAGCCACGGCUAACUACGUG
rnacentral:rRNA from 1 species